UACGUAGGGGGCGAGCGUUGUCCGAAUUUACUGGGCGUAAAGCGCGUGUAGGCGGUCCUUUAAGUGGGGUGUGAAAUCCCGCAGCUCAACUGCGGAACUGCACUUCAAACUGGGGGGCUUGAGUCUGGGAGAGGAGAGUGGAAUUCCUGGUGUAGCGGUGAAAUGCGUAGAUAUCAGGAGGAACACCCGUGGCGAAGGCGGCUCUCUGGUCCAGUACUGACGCUGAGACGCGAAAGCUAGGGGAGCGAACGGG
rnacentral:rRNA from 1 species